GACGAACCGAGCGAACGUUGUUCGGAAUUACUGGGCGUAAAGGGCUCGUAGGUGGCCAACUAAGUCGGACGUGAAAUCCCUCAGCUUAACUGGGGAACUGCGUCCGAUACUGGAUGGCUUGAGUUUGGGAGAGGGAUGCGGAAUUCCAGGUGUAGCGGUGAAAUGCGCAGAUAUCAGGAGGAACACCGAUUGCGAAGGCAGCUCGCUGGGACGUGACUGACGCUGAGACGCGAAAGCGUGGGGAGCAAACAGG
rnacentral:rRNA from 1 species